UGGGUUGUUGCACCUUUAUUAACUCUAAACUUCAUUGCUAUGAUCAUUUGUUAUUUUUUCGAUCACCAGUCUGUUACAAUACUGGGGGUGGGGUGAGGGGGUCCCCUUUGAUUUUUUCCUGCUAAGUUUGGUCAGAAAACUUUAUAACAAACUCGAUUUCAUCGAUGAAAACUCUUGGAAUGUAGCUUGUUCAUUCUUUUCAUUUAUUACUAGUUAAUCACUUCUCUUUGAGUGAUGGAAACAGUUGGUGAUUCUAGAUCAAGUUCAAAAGAGAAGAGAUCAUUUGAGGUAAAUUCUUUUAAAAAUCCUAUAUUAGUUCAUCAUGGACAUAAAACAGCUCCUCAUAUUAUUCAUUUCUUGGUAACAUGCUAGCUUGCAUAAUAACUGGAUACAGUUUUUGUUAUCUUUGUUCAUUUACCAUUAUAACACAUGCAUGUAGUGCUUAUUGUUAUUUAAUUUGUUUACUUACAUGGAUGGAUGUAUUUGCGAAUUUAUACUGUUCAUAAUAAACCAAUAAUCAAAAUUUCCUUU